rnacentral:rRNA from 1 species
UGGGGAAUAUUGGGCAAUGGAGGAAACUCUGACCCAGCGACGCCGCGUGAGGGAUGAAGGCCUUCGGGUUGUAAACCUCUUUCAGUAGGGAAGAAGCGAAAGUGACGGUACCUACAGAAGAAGCACCGGCUAACUAUGUGCCAGCAGCCGCGGUAAUACAUAGGGUGCAAGCGUUGUCCGGAAUUAUUGGGCGUAAAGAGCUCGUAGGUGGUUCGAUACGUCGGAUGUGAAAAUCAGGGGCUCAACCCC